UACGUAGGGUGCGAGCGUUAAUCGGAAUUACUGGGCGUAAAGGGUGCGCAGGCGGCCCCCGCAAGUCAGGCGUGAAAUCCCCGGGCUCAACUUGGGAAUGGCGCUUGAAACUACGGGGCUGGAGUGUGGCAGAGGGAGGUGGAAUUCCACGUGUAGCGGUGAAAUGCGUAGAGAUGUGGAGGAACACCGAUGGCGAAGGCAGCCUCCUGGGCCAACACUGACGCUCAUGCACGAAAGCGUGGGAGCAAACAGG
rnacentral:rRNA from 1 species